rnacentral:rRNA from 1 species
AUGAGGAGAUUUUUGAAAUUUUUGAUCCGCUCCGCUAACUCCAAUUCGGCCUCGGACCCAGACGACUUCUCCAUCCCCUUCUUCAGGCAGUUCUGGCCCCAGCUGCGGGGCCUCGUCCAGGCUAUCAUUCAAGGCUUCUGGUUGGGAACCAUUGACAUCUCUCGGUUAAAUUACGUUGUCCUCACUCUCAUUCCUAAAGUUAAAGGGGCAGAAUUAAUCUCUCAGUUUAGACCUAUAGCCCUGAUUAAUAAUUUCGCUAAACUACCGGCAAAAGGCCUUGCUACUAGGCUCUCCCCUAUUCCCCAUCAUACUCUUAGUCCUUUCCAAUCGGCCUUUGUUAAGGGCAGGUUUAUAUUAGAUGGCAUCCUUUGUCUUCAUGAGAUUGUUCAUGACCUGCGAGUCCGGGGCUCCAAAGCGGUGAUUCUAAAACUUGACUUCGAAAAAGCUCACGACUUGGUUAGUUGGAAUUUCCUUCAACAAGUGCUUCUGGCCAAGGGCUUUGACGGUGCAGUGGUUCACAAACUUAUGCAGUUGGUCACGGGAGGCCACACUGCGGUCUCGGUCAACGGGAACAUCAGUCACUUCUUUGCCAACGGCAGGGGCCUGAGGCAGGGUGACCCGGCUUCACCCCUCCUCUUCAACUUUGUGGCUGACUCUCUCUCCCAUAUUCUGACUCGGGCUGCGGCAGCUGGUCACAUUAGUCCUGUCAGCUCCCACCUUGUCCCUAAUGGCAUCUCUCACUUACAAUACGCGGAUGAUACUAUCAUAAUGGUUGAAUUGAAUGAUGCUAGUAUAGCCCACCUAAAGUUCCUUCUCCUUUGCUUUGAAGCUCUCUCUGGUCUAAAGAUUAAUUUUGCCAAGAGUGAAGUCGUUGUUACUGGGGUCUCGGACGUUGAGGCCCAAAGAGUUGCUCAUCUUCUUAAUUUCUCCCUAGGAUAUUUUCCAUUCAAAUAUCUCGGCCUCCCGAUCUCCCCCCAGAAGCUGCUGGCUAAAGAUUUUGCUCCGACUGUUACUAAGGUGGGUAACCGGGUCCUGCCGUGGAGAGGUCGCUACAACACCCAAGCGGGCAAGGUCGCCCUAACCAACGCCUGCCUGUCCUCCAUCCCCAUGUUCCUGAUGGGCUUCUACCUCCGUUCGUGA